UCAAGCUUAGUUUAAUAUAAAACACUAAUUUGUGAUAUUAGAAAUAAGGAAAAUCUUAGCUAGUC
rnacentral:tRNA from 1 species